GAGAGUAAACAGUGCGUGAAACCGCUCAGAGGUAAACGGGUGGAGUUGAACUGCGAUCCUUGGGAAUUCAGCUGAUGAGCAUGAUUUGUGCUUGGGCAUAUUGGCCGCCUUACUGUGUCUGCUUAAAUGCGGGUACCUGCCUCUGGUAGGUAUGUGUGGUGCACUUAUCAUGUGCCGCACGCAUGGAGAGGUGUAUGGGUCUGCUUGUCAGUGCACUUUCUCAGGGUGUUCACCACGACCGGCGCUGCUGUCUGUCUGCUGUAGUCAAACUGAUCAGGUCUGAUUAACGUUGGGCUUGGUUGGGUUGGCAGGUGACUCACUGGUCCAUUCUGUGGGCUAUGAGUGUUACUAGCCGGCUAUGGUGGAUCUGUACAGUGUGUCGGAGACGGCGGCUUAUGCGCUCUGUCCUUCGGGCGUGGUUGAGUCUGGUCGACUUGUUGCUAGUUUCGGCUGGCCAGUUGAUGGCUUGAUCAUGUUCAGUUGGCAGUAGUGUGUGUUUGGCCAACAGUCUGUGGUGUUGUGGUAGACUAUCCACCUG
rnacentral:rRNA from 1 species